CAACUUUCAACAACGGAUCUCUUGGCUCUCGCAUCGAUGAAGAACGCAGCGAAAUGCGAUACGUAAUGUGAAUUGCAUCAGAAUUCAAUUGAAUCAUCGAAUCUUUGAACGCACCUUGCGCCCCUUGGCAUUCCGAGGGACACACACCCGUUUGAGUG
rnacentral:rRNA from 1 species